GGCCCAGUGGCUCAGUUGGUUAGAGUGCCGGCCUGUCACGCCGGAGGUUGUGGGUUUGAUCCCUUUUUGGGCCGCCA
rnacentral:tRNA from 1 species